CCUACGGGUGGCAGCAGUGAGGAAUAUUGGUCAAUGGGCGCGAGCCUGAACCAGCCAAGUCGCGUGAGGGAAGACGGUCCUAUGGAUUGUAAACAUCUUUUGUCGGGGAGCAAAAGACGCCACUCGUAGCGUUCCGAGAGUACCCGAAGAAAAAGCAUCGGCUAACUCCGUGCCAGCCGCCGCGGUAAUACGGAGGAUGCGAGCGUUAUCGGGAUUGAUUGGGGUUAAAGGGUGCGCAGGCGGAAGAUCAAGUCAGCGGGAAAAUUGAGAGGCUCAACCUCUUCGAGCCGUUGAAACUGGUUGUCUUGAGUGAGCGAGAAGUAUGCGGAAUGCGUGGUGUAGCGGUGAAAUGCAUAGAUAUCACGCAGAACUCCGAUUGCGAAGGCAGCAUACCGGCGCUCAACUGACGCUCAUGCACGAAAGUGUGGGUAUCGAACAGGAUUAGAUACCCGGGUAGUC
rnacentral:rRNA from 1 species